rnacentral:rRNA from 1 species
CCUACGGGAGGCAGCAGUGGGGAAUAUUGCGCAAUGGGCGCAAGCCUGAUGCAGCCAUGCCGCGUGUGUGAAGAAGGCCUUCGGGUUGUAAAGCACUUUCAGCGGGGAGGAAGGCGUUAAGGUUAAUAACCUUGGCGAUUGACGUUACCCGCAGAAGAAGCACCGGCUAACUCCGUGCCAGCAGCCGCGGUAAUACGGAGGGUGCAAGCGUUAAUCGGAAUUACUGGGCGUAAAGCGCACGCAGGCGGUCUGUCAAGUCGGAUGUGAAAUCCCCGGGCUCAACCUGGGAACUGCAUUCGAAACUGGCAGGCUAGAGUCUUGUAGAGGGGGGUAGAAUUCCAGGUGUAGCGGUGAAAUGCGUAGAGAUCUGGAGGAAUACCGGUGGCGAAGGCGGCCCCCUGGACAAAGACUGACGCUCAGGUGCGAAAGCGUGGGGAGCAAACAGGAUUAGAUACCCGGGUAGUC